CCGAAGUAUCUUUCCAAUAACACAGGUGGGGAAACAGAUAUUGAAGAACCAAUGUUUGAUCCUUAUUGGUCACAUUUACAAUGUGUGUAUGAUCUACUACUCAGGUUUAUAAGUUCUGUUGAUGCAAAGGCUGCAAAGAAGCAUAUAGAUCAUGCUUUUAUUGUGAGAUUACUUGACCUCUUUGAUUCUGAGGACCCAAGAGAACGAGACUGUUUGAAAACAAUUCUGCAUAGGAUUUAUGGGAAUUUCAUGGUACACCGGCCUUUUAUCCGAAAAGCUGUUAGCAACAUCAUCUAUCAUUUUGUUUUUGAAACUGACCAUCAUAAUGGAAUUGCUGAACUGUUGGAGAUUUUUGGAAGUGUUAUUAGUGGGUUUGCCUUGCCAUUGAAAGAGGAACACAAGUUGUUUCUAUGGAGAGCUUUGAUUCCUCUACACAAGCCAAAAUCGGUGGGUGUCUAUCAUCAACAAUUGACAUAUUGUGUUGUACAGUUUAUAGAUAAAGAUCCAAAGUUGGCAAGUACUGUGAUUAGGGGUCUACUGAAGUACUGGCCAGUGACAAACAGCCAGAAGGAAUUAAUGUUUAUAAGUGAGAUAGAAGAGAUUUUGGAAAUGACUACCAUGGAAGAGUUUCAGAAGAUCAUGGUCCCACUAUUUCGACGUAUGGGAUGCUGCCUCAAUAGCUCACAUUACCAGGUGGCUGAACGAGCUCACUUACUGUGGAACAAUGAGCGCAUCCUGAAUCUUAUUGUGCAUAACAGGCAGGUGAUUGUGCCUCUUGUCUUCUCAGCUCUCGAGCGGAAUGCUCAGAAUCAUUG
rnacentral:misc_RNA from 1 species